UGUCUAAUGGUAUUAUAAUCAAGGCUUAUAGUAUUAAAGUAAUAGACUAUUUUAUAAAUGGAAAUGUUUGAACUACACUGACAUCUACCAUCACCUCAUGCAUCCUCAUCAUCCUUUGCUCGUUGCCUCAGUACAGAGAACAUGGUGGACACCAGUGUCAGAUGCGAGGGAGUCAAGAGAUUGUGGAUACUCCAGCAGAUUUUAAAUCUGACAUGAGGGGAACUUUUAGUUUUCCUGUGUUCAAAAAUGACAAAGGAGAAAAGGUGACAGACACUGCUUUAACAAUAUGAAGACACUGCCAGACUGUGGUGACAUACACAAAAGGGAAUAUGAGUAAUAUGAGAGCCACUUAGGCAAAUCAUCACCCUGAAAAGGUGAUGAUGAUGAUCACAUUUUCAAAGCAUUCGACUCCCUGGCACAUGUGUAACCCAGGUUAAUUAAAUUGAAUUUGAUAUUAGCCCUCUAUUUUUUUUCCUUUUCAGAGGGGAGUGACCUCAGUGAACCUCCAUAACUUAUGAUUAAUUGGUUUUCAUUUUAUUUUGUAUUUAUUUAUUUCCCUCAUUUUUUUUUCUUAACAUCCCAUAAUCUCACCUGAACUCCGCUAAAAUCUUCAACCAAUCAGAACUCCUCCCACUUAUCAUAAACAUCCGGUUCACGAGAGACAGAAUUGUUUGGUUGCCCAAGACGGGACAACGAGUUUAUGAUUUACACAGCGGUCAGGUUUUUUGUGUAUGAACCUUACACCGUGGAGAUGGCGAGCUAAAACCUACGAGAGCAACCCUGCCUACACGUUGGUAGGAUCUAAAAAGACAUUCGAACACGGAUCGAAAGAUAUUUACUUUUUUUUGUUUUUUUGAUGGACCCAAGAAGCGUUUUCUGAUUAAGAGGAUAUUUAUGUUGGUUGUUUGAACUUAUUGUUUUGUUAUAUUGGAAGUAUUUUUUAUGUGAAAUACAAAAAAUAUUAUUUAAAUUUA